rnacentral:rRNA from 1 species
AUUGAACGCUGGCGGCAUGCCUUACACAUGCAAGUCGAACGGCAGCACGGGGGCAACCCUGGUGGCGAGUGGCGGACGGGUGAGUAAUGCAUCGGAACGUGCCCUGAAGUGGGGGAUAACGCAGCGAAAGCUACGCUAAUACCGCAUAUUCUGUGAGCAGGAAAGCAGGGGAUCGCAAGACCUUGCGCUUUGGGAGCGGCCGAUGUCGGAUUAGCUAGUUGGUGGGGUAAAGGCCUACCAAGGCGACGAUCCGUAGCGGGUCUGAGAGGAUGAUCCGCCACACUGGGACUGAGACACGGCCCAGACUCCUACGGGAGGCAGCAGUGGGGAAUUUUGGACAAUGGGCGAAAGCCUGAUCCAGCCAUGCCGCGUGAGUGAAGAAGGCCUUCGGGUUGGUUAAAGUACGUCUUUCGGUUGGGGUAAGGAAAUUAGGCAUAGGCUAAUACCCUGUGUAG